rnacentral:rRNA from 1 species
AACGAACGCUGGCGGCAGGCCUAACACAUGCAAGUCGAGCGAGGACUUCGGUCCUAGCGGCGGACGGGUGAGUACGCGUGGGAACGUGCCCUUUGCUACGGAAUAGCCCCGGGAAACUGGGAGUAAUACCGUAUGUGCCCGAGCGGGGAAAGAUUUAUCGGCAAAGGAUCGGCUCGCGUUGGAUUAGGUGGUUGGUGGGGUAAUGGCCUACCAAGCCGACGAUCCAUAGCUGGUUUGAGAGGAUGAUCAGCCACACUGGGACUGAGACACGGCCCAGACCCCUACGGGAGGCAGCAGUGGGAAAUCUUGGACAAUGGGCGAAACCCUGAUCGAGCCAUGCCGCGUGAGCGAGGAAGGCCUUAGGGUUGUAAAGCUCUUUCAGUGGGGAAGAUAAUGACGGUACCCACAGAAGAAGCCCCGGCUAACUCCGUGCCAGCAGCCGCCGCCGUAA